rnacentral:rRNA from 1 species
GACAGAGGGUGCAAGCGUUAUUCGGAUUCACUGGGCGUAAAGGGCGCGUAGGCGGCCACCGCAAGUCGGUUGUGAAAUCUCUGGGCUUAACCCAGAAAGGUCAACCGAUACUGCGGGGCUAGAGUGCAGAAGGGGCAACUGGAAUUCUCGGUGUAGCGGUGAAAUGCGUAGAUAUCGAGAGGAACACCUGCGGCGAAGGCGGGUUGCUGGGCUGACACUGACGCUGAAGCGCGAAAGCUAGGGGAGCGAACGGG